rnacentral:rRNA from 1 species
UGGGAACGUACCCUUCGGUUCGGAAUAGCCCGGGGAAACUCGGAGUAAUACCGGAUACGUCCGUAAGGAGAAAGAUUCAUCGCCGAAGGAUCGGCCCGCGUCUGAUUAGCUAGUUGGUGGGGUAAUGGCCCACCAAGGCUACGAUCAGUAGCUGGUCUGAGAGGAUGAUCAGCCUCACUGGGACUGAGACACGGCCCAGACUCCUACGGGAGGCAG